GACGAACGCUGGCGGCGUGCUUAACACAUGCAAGUCGAACGGAAAGGCCCUGCUUUUGUGGGGUGCUCGAGUGGCGAACGGGUGAGUAACACGUGAGUAACCUGGCCUUGACUUUGGGAUAACUUCAGGAAACUGGGGCUAAUACCGGAUAGGAGCUCCUGCUGCAUGGUGGGGGUUGGAAAGUUUCGGCGGUUGGGGAUGGACUCGCGGCUUAUCAGCUUGUUGGUGGGGUAGUGGCUUACCAAGGCUUUGACGGGUAGCCGGCCUGAGAGGGUGACCGGCCACGUGGGGACUGGGAUACGGCCAAGACUCCUAGGGGAGGGAGGAGGGGGGAAUAUUGCAAAAGGGGCGGAGGCUUGAUGAGCCAACGCCGCGGGGGGGAUGAGGGCCUUGGGGUUGUAAACCGCUUUCGCCGGUGACGAAGGGGGAGUGACGGUAAGGGGAAAAGAAGCACCGGCUAACUACG
rnacentral:rRNA from 1 species